rnacentral:rRNA from 1 species
UACGUAGGGGGCAAGCGUUGUCCGGAAUCAUUGGGCGUAAAGCGCGUGUAGGCGGUCCGGUAAGUCCGCUGUGAAAGUCCAGGGCUCAACCCUGGGAUGCCGGUGGAUACUGUCGGGCUAGAGUACGGAAGAGGCGAGUGGAAUUCCCGGUGUAGCGGUGAAAUGCGCAGAUAUCGGGAGAAACACCAAUUGCGAAGGCAGCUCGCUGGGACGUUACUGACGCUGAGACGCGAAAGCGUGGGGAGCAAACAGG